AAAUUGAAGAGUUUGAUCAUGGCUCAGAUUGAACGCUGGCGGCAGGCCUAACACAUGCAAGUCGAACGGUAACAGGAAGAAGCUUGCUUCUUUGCUGACGAGUGGCGGACGGGUGAGUAAUGUCUGGGAAACUGCCUGAUGGAGGGGGAUAACUACUGGAAACGGUAGCUAAUACCGCAUAACGUCGCAAGACCAAAGAGGGGGACCUUCGGGCCUCUUGCCAUCGGAUGUGCCCAGAUGGGAUUAGCUAGUAGGUGGGGUAACGGCUCACCUAGGCGACGAUCCCUAGCUGGUCUGAGAGGAUGACCAGCCACACUGGAACUGAGACACGGUCCAGACUCCUACGGGAGGCAGCAGUGGGGAAUAUUGCACAAUGGGCGCAAGCCUGAUGCAGCCAUGCCGCGUGUAUGAAGAAGGCCUUCGGGUUGUAAAGUACUUUCAGCGGGGAGGAAGGGAGUAAAGUUAAUACCUUUGCUCAUUGACGUUACCCGCAGAAGAAGCACCGGCUAACUCCGUGCCAGCAGCCGCGGUAAUACGGAGGGUGCAAGCGUUAAUCGGAAUUACUGGGCGUAAAGCGCACGCAGGCGGUUUGUUAAGUCAGAUGUGAAAUCCCCGGGCUCAACCUGGGAACUGCAUCUGAUACUGGCAAGCUUGAGUCUCGUAGAGGGGGGUAGAAUUCCAGGUGUAGCGGUGAAAUGCGUAGAGAUCUGGAGGAAUACCGGUGGCGAAGGCGGCCCCCUGGACGAAGACUGACGCUCAGGUGCGAAAGCGUGGGGAGCAAACAGGAUUAGAUACCUGGUAGUCCACGCCGUAAACGAUGUCGACUUGGAGGUUGUGCCCUUGAGGCGUGGCUUCCGGAGCUAACGCGUUAAGUCGACCGCCUGGGGAGUACGGCCGCAAGGUUAAAACUCAAAUGAAUUGACGGGGGCCCGCACAAGCGGUGGAGCAUGUGGUUUAAUUCGAUGCAACGCGAAGAACCUUACCUGGUCUUGACAUCCACGGAAGUUUUCAGAGAUGAGAAUGUGCCUUCGGGAACCGUGAGACAGGUGCUGCAUGGCUGUCGUCAGCUCGUGUUGUGAAAUGUUGGGUUAAGUCCCGCAACGAGCGCAACCCUUAUCCUUUGUUGCCAGCGGUCCGGCCGGGAACUCAAAGGAGACUGCCAGUGAUAAACUGGAGGAAGGUGGGGAUGACGUCAAGUCAUCAUGGCCCUUACGACCAGGGCUACACACGUGCUACAAUGGCGCAUACAAAGAGAAGCGACCUCGCGAGAGCAAGCGGACCUCAUAAAGUGCGUCGUAGUCCGGAUUGGAGUCUGCAACUCGACUCCAUGAAGUCGGAAUCGCUAGUAAUCGUGGAUCAGAAUGCCACGGUGAAUACGUUCCCGGGCCUUGUACACACCGCCCGUCACACCAUGGGAGUGGGUUGCAAAAGAAGUAGGUAGCUUAACCUUCGGGAGGGCGCUUACCACUUUGUGAUUCAUGACUGGGGUGAAGUCGUAACAAGGUAACCGUAGGGGAACCUGCGGUUGGAUCACCUCCUUA
rnacentral:rRNA from 1 species